UGCGUAGGCGGAUUAAUAAGUCAGUGGUGAAAUCUUUCGGCUCAACCGAGAAACUGCCAUUGAUACUGUUAAUCUUGAGUUCGGUUGAGGUAGGCGGAAUGUGUAAUGUAGCGGUGAAAUGCUUAGAUAUUACACAGAACACCAAUUGCGUAGGCAGCUUACUAGACCGAUACUGACGCUGAGGCACGAAAGCGUGGGUAGCGAACAGGAUUAGAUACCCUGGUAGUC
rnacentral:rRNA from 1 species